AAUUCUUCAAUUACUCCAACAAUUUCACAAUUCAAUACAAUAAAUUCGAGAGGCCAGAGAUCACUGGUUACUUCCGCUGCAAAGUCUGGAGGCUUUUCACUUAAAUCAAUUGGGAGUAGGUGCGAAGGAUGCGGCGGUAAAGGUGCAAUAGAGUGUCCCGGAUGCAAGGGAACAGGAAAGAAUAAGAAGAAUGGGAACAUAUUUGAAAGAUGGAAGUGUUUUGAUUGCCAAGGGUUUGGGUUGAAGAGUUGUCCAG
rnacentral:misc_RNA from 1 species